AGAGUUUGAUCAUGGCUCAGAACGUACGCUGGCGGCACGCCUUAUACAUGCAAGUCGAACGAAGUAGCAAUACUUAGUGGCAGACGGGUGAGUAACAUGUAGGUAUCUUCCCUUUGGUGAGGAAUAACAUGAGGAAACUUAUGCUAAUACCUCAUAAGUCUUUACGGAGAAAGCUUUAUGCACCAUUGGAUGAGCCUGCACUUGAUUAGUUUGUUGGUGGGGUAAUGGCCUACCAAGACUGUGAUCAAUAGCUGAUUUGAGAGGAUGAUCAGCCACAUUGGGACUGAGACACGGCCCAAACUCCUACGGGAGGCAGCAGUGGGGAAUCUUGCACAAUGGAGGAAACUCUGAUGCAGCGAUGCCGCGUGAGUGAAGAAGGCCUUUGGGUUGUAAAGCUCUUUCGUCGGGGAAGAAAAUGACUGUACCCGAAUAAGAAGGUCCGGCUAACUUCGUGCCAGCAGCCGCGGUAAUACGAAGGGACCUAGCGUAGUUCGGAAUUACUGGGCUUAAAGAGUUCGUAGGUGGUUGAAAAAGUUGGUAGUGAAAUCCCAGAGCCUAACUCUGGAACUGCCAUCAAAACUUUUCAGCUAGAGUUUGAUAGAGGAAAGCAGAAUUUCUAGUGUAGAGGUGAAAUUCGUAGAUAUUAGAAAGAAUACCAAUUGCGAAGGCAGCUUUCUGGAUCAUUACUGACACUGAGGAACGAAAGCAUGGGUAGCGAAGAGGAUUAGAUACCCUCGUAGUCCAUGCCGUAAACGAUGUGUGUUAGACGUUGGAAAUUUAUUUUCAGUGUCGCAGCGAAAGCGAUAAACACACCGCCUGGGGAGUACGACCGCAAGGUUAAAACUCGAAUGAAUUGACGGGGACCCGCACAAGUAGUGGAGCAUGUGG
rnacentral:rRNA from 1 species